rnacentral:rRNA from 1 species
UACCUCAGUAACGGCGAGUGAAGCGGUAACAGCUCAAAUUUGAAAUCUGGGUCUUUCAGGCUCCGAGUUGUAAUUUGUAGAAGAUGCUUCGGGUGCGGCUCCGGUCUAAGUUCCUUGGAACAGGACGUCAUAGAGGGUGAGAAUCCCGUAUGUGAUCGGCCGCUUGCGCCCAUGUGAAGCUCUUUCGACGAGUCGAGUUGUUUGGGAAUGCAGCUCCAAAUGGGUGGUAUAUUUCAUCUAAAGCUAAAUAUUGGCCAGAGACCGAUAGCGCACAAGUAGAGUGAUCGAAAGAUGAAAAGCACUUUGGAAAGAGAGUUAAACAGUACGUGAAAUUGUUGAAAGGGAAGCGCUUGCAACCAGACUUGCGUGUUGUUGAUCAUCCGGGGUUCUCCCCGGUGCACUCGACCUCACUCAGGCCAGCAUCGGUUUCGGUGGUUGGAUAAAGGCCUUGGGAAUGUAGCUCCUCUCGGGGAGUGUUAUAGCCCUCGGUGCAAUGCAGCCUACCGGGACCGAGGACCGCGCUUCGGCUAGGAUGCUGGCGUAAUGGUUGUAAGCGACCCGUCUUGAAACACGGACCAAGGAGUCUAACAUCUAUGCGAGUGUUUGGGUGUCAAACCCAUACGCGUAAUGAAAGUGAACGGAGGUGAGAACCCUUAAGGGUGCAUCAUCGACCGAUCCUGAUGUCUUCGGAUGGAUUUGAGUAAGAGCAUAGCUGUUGGGACCCGAAAGAUGGUGAACUAUGCCUGAAUAGGGUGAAGCCAGAGGAAACUCUGGUGGAGGCUCGCAGCGGUUCUGACGUGCAAAUCGAUCGUCAAAUUUGGGUAUAGGGGCGAAAG